rnacentral:rRNA from 1 species
UGCCGCCGCCGCGGUAAUACCGGCAGCCCGAGUGAUGGCCGAUAUUAUUGGGCCUAAAGCGUCCGUAGCUGGCCGAACAAGUCCGUCGGGAAAUCCACGUGCUUAACACGUGGGCGACCGGCGGAAACUGUUCGGCUUGGGGCCGGAGGACCCGAGGGGUACGUCCGGGGUAGGAGUGAAAUCCUGUAAUCCUGGACGGACCGCCGGUGGCGAAAGCGCCUCGGGAAGACGGACCCGACAGUGAGGGACGAAAGCUGGGGUCUCGAACCGGAUUAGAUACCCCUGUAGCC